CCUUUGCCCAGCGUUCUGUAACAAUGCUAAGAAUAGCUAAGAACAGCCACGAAUGCACACACCUAGCAUGCGCCUCAGGAGGCUUCCAACUCCGCCUGCUACGCAGCUCCACACCUGAAGGCACUGGUGCCAAACGCACCUUUUUAUUUUCUGCACCGGUUUUUAAUAGACUUGGGCUGCUACCAUGGGAUACCACAGCUUAAGAGGCUUAAAGGACGGACGGACAGACAGACAGACAGACAGAGGUGCAUUUGACACUUCUUCAGAGUUUUGGGUGCUGAAAACCUGAGCUGAGGGCUUUGCCCAUCCCACAAAUCCCAUAAGACAAAUCUGGGAGGCCAGCUGAUCAACAUCCACGGACCUACCUGCACCCUCCUGACACCGUGUGAAAGGGACCAGCCAGCUCAUUGUAUACCUUACCGUCGUUGACCUUUUUUGGACUCCUCGAAAGCUACUGGAGUCCAGGAAGUUACUGUUGGCAGUAAGUUAUCAGACAUUUU